GUCGAGGGGCAGCACAUGAGUAGCAAUACGAUGGUGGCGACCGGCGCACGGGUGAGUAACACGUAUGCAACCUACCUUUAACAGGGGAAUAACCCGUUGAAAAACGGACUAAUACUCCAUAACACAGGGGUCCCGCAUGGGAAUAUUUGUUAAAGAUUAAUCGGUUGAAGAUGGGCAUGCGUUCCAUUAGCUUGUUGGUGAGGUAACGGCUCACCAAGGCCACGAUGGAUAGGGGAACUGAGAGGUUUAUCCCCCACACUGGAACUGAGACACGGUCCAGACUCCUACGGGAGGCAGCAGUGAGGAAUAUUGGUCAAUGGAGGCAACUCUGAACAGCCAAGUCGCGUGAAGGAUGAAGGUCUUAUGGAUUGUAAACUUCUUUUGCAAGGGAAUAAAGUGGGGGACGUGUCCUCCUUCGCAUGUACCUUGCGAAUAAGGAUCGGCUAACUCCGUGCCAGCAGCCGCGGUAAUACGGAGGAUCCGAGCGUUAUCCGGAUUUAUUGGGUUUAAAGGGUGCGCAGGCGGGAUGUUAAGUCGGCGGUGAAAUUUUGCAGCUCAACUGUAAAAGUGCCUUCGAUACUGGCUUUCUUGAGUGUGGAUGAAGUAGGCGGAAUUUGUGGUGUAGCGGCGAAAUGCUUAGAUAUCACGAGGAACUCCGAUUGCGCAGGCAGCUUACUAAACCACUACUGACGCUCAUGCACGAAGGCGUGGGGAUCAAACAGGAUUAGAUACCCUGGUAGUCCACGCAGUAAACGAUGAUUACUAGUUGUUUGCGAUACAAUGUAAGCGACUGAGCGAAA
rnacentral:rRNA from 1 species